rnacentral:rRNA from 1 species
GGAUAAGUGCUGAAAGCAUCUAAGCAUGAAGCCCCCCUCAAGAUGAGAUUUCCCAACUUCGGUUAUAAGAUCCCUCAAAGAUGAUGAGGUUAAUAGGUUCGAGGUGGAAGCAUGGUGACAUGUGGAGCUGACGAAYACUAAUCGAUCGAAGACUUAAUCAAAA